rnacentral:lncRNA from 1 species
AGCUACUGUGCCUCCUGUACCCCUCUUCUACCCACAGCUCUGCAGCCUUCUCUGGAUGCUGUUUCAGGCAAACAGCACGUGAAACAAGCCUGCAGCUGUGACUCCUCAGGCAUCGUAUGCACAACGAGGACAUUCAUGCAGCCGGUAAGUUACAUUAGGGACGUGAAAAAUAAACUCGUAAAGCUCAAGCUUUAUGAAAUAAGCUAACGCUUAACUGUUCAGGAGCAGAAGAACUCCCCUACAGACAGCCGGUCUCAUCAUUUUUUCCAUGAGAGUGACUGUUUUGUCUGCCUGAAGCAUCCUGAGCUGGCCAGCCUCCUGCCAGGCACAGCCAGCGGGAUGCUUCUCCUUGCAGCAGCCAGCAGCGGGGGCUGAGCACAGCCGAGCCUGAUUUCUCAGGCUUGCACGGUGACAGAUGUGAGAAAUACAAAAAGGCCCCAGCACGAGCAGCCGGUGGGCUCCGCUUUGCAAAUGCGGGCUGCGCUGGUCCCGUUAGCGCAGCCCAGAGGGUGCUGGGAGGAAAGGAGUUAAAGGUUUCGAUUCGCAGGUUUGCACUGCCAUCCAGUGCGUGUUUUCUGUCACUGCAGGACGAAAUUGGAAACGGCACACUGAAGCAGGAAGAUUUCUGGUUCGCCAGAGAUGUUUUGCUUUCCUCCUUCUUGCCUGUCCUGAAAUUUAAGAAGUUCCUGGUGUGAGCAAAGGACUGAUCUUUUGGAAGGGACAGAUGUGGAGUGUUAUUUAUUUGUAGGCUUGAAGGCCUUUGAUACCAUUUUGUGGCAGAACAUUUUCAUUUUUAUCUCCUUGACCUGGGUUUUUUUCCUUUUUGUGUGUGUUUUGAGUAUAAACAAUGUUACGCAUUCUCAAGUAUAACUAAUAACUCUUGA